AUUGAACGCUGGCGGCAUGCUUUACACAUGCAAGUCGAACGGCAGCACGGGUGCUUGCACCUGGUGGCGAGUGGCGGACGGGUGAGUAAUGCAUCGGAACGUGUCCUGAAGUGGGGGAUAACGCAUCGAAAGAUGUGCUAAUACCGCAUAUUCUCUGAGGAGGAAAGUAGGGGAUCGAAAGACCUUAUGCUUUUGGAAGCGGCCGAUGUCUGAUUAGCUAGUUGGUAGGGUAAUGGCUUACCAAGGCGACGAUCAGUAGUUGGUCUGAGAGGACGACCAGCCACACUGGGACUGAGACACGGCCAGACUCCUACGGGAGGCAGCAGUGGGGAAUUUUGGACAAU
rnacentral:rRNA from 1 species